UGUGGGUACAUUUGUCCGUCCACAAUUUCUUUGGUCGGUGGAUCCAUCACGAUUGGCGAAUCCAAUUGCCUUGGCCUCCUCUGUCCCUGCCCAUUUGAUGACCUGCAGAGGAUUGAUGAGCGGAGCACUCCGGGGUCAGAGAAGAUGCCUUCUUUGCCCCACCACCAUGACGGUUAAAAUGUGCCUAUGAUCUUCAGGCUGCAAUCUGUCCUCUUAUUUUCUGCCGAUCCCCAUGUUGAAUGAUGGUAUGGAAAAUGAAGAGUGAGGCCUGAUACUUAAAUAUCAAUUUCCCAGACGGUCACGCAUCACCUACAGGUUAUCUGUCUCCUGUGUUUUUUUUUCUGAGG
ensembl:lncRNA